rnacentral:rRNA from 1 species
AUUGAACGCUGGCGGCAUGCCUUACACAUGCAAGUCGAACGGUAACAGGUCUUCGGAUGCUGACGAGUGGCGAACGGGUGAGUAAUACAUCGGAACGUGCCCAGACGUGGGGGAUAACGAGGCGAAAGCUUUGCUAAUACCGCAUACGAUCUAAGGAUGAAAGCAGGGGACCGCAAGGCCUUGCGCGUUUGGAGCGGCCGAUGGCAGAUUAGGUAGUUGGUGGGAUAAAAGCUUACCAAGCCGACGAUCUGUAGCUGGUCUGAGAGGACGACCAGCCACACUGGGACUGAGACACGGCCCAGACUCCUACGGGAGGCAGCAGUGGGGAAUGUUGGACAAUGGGCGAAAGCCUGAUCCAGCAAUGCCGCGUGCAGGAUGAAGGCCUUCGGGUUGUAAACUGCUUUUGUACGGAACGAAAAGGCUCUGGCUAAUACCUGGGGCACAUGACGGUACCGUAAGAAUAAGCACCGGCUAACUACGUG